rnacentral:rRNA from 1 species
GAUGAACGCUGGCGGCGUGCCUAAUACAUGCAAGUCGAGCGAACAGAUAAGGAGCUUGCUCCUUUGACGUUAGCGGCGGACGGGUGAGUAACACGUGGAUAACCUACCUAUAAGACUGGGAUAACUUCGGGAAACCGGAGCUAAUACCGGAUAACAUAUUGAACCGCAUGGUUCAAUAGUGAAAGGCGGCUUUGCUGUCACUUAUAGAUGGAUCCGCGCCGUAUUGGCUAGUUGGUAAGGUAACGGCUUACCAAGGCAACGAUACGUAGCCGACCUGAGAGGGUGAUCGGCCACACUGGAACUGAGACACGGUCCAGACUCCUACGGGAGGCAGCAGUAGGGAAUCUUCCGCAAUGGGCGAAAGCCUGACGGAGCAACGCCGCGUGAGUGAUGAAGGUCUUCGGAUCGUAAAACUCUGUUAUCAGGGAAGAACAAAUGUGUAAGUAACUGUGCACAUCUUGACGGUACCUGAUCAGAAAGCCACGGCUAACUACGUG